UCAUGGACCCCAGACUGAUAGCUGGGAAACCAGCAUAGGACGGAUCCAGAUCCCUUGAACAAUACAAACAGGCACCUACAGAAAUACUACUAUAAAAUAAGAACAUAAAAACAAAAAAGCUGAAAUGGGAUGAAGCAAACAAACUACCAGGAGAAAAGGAACCAAAGAAAAAUCUCAAGAAACUGUUAAUCCCAUUGAACGAGAGUAAAGACCAUUACCCAAA